rnacentral:rRNA from 1 species
GACGGUGCAAGCGUUAAUCGGAAUUACUGGGCGUAAAGCGCACGCUGGCGGUCUGUCAAGUCGGAUGUGAAAUCCCCGGGCUCAACCUGGGAAUUGCAUUCGAAACUGGCAGGCUGGAGUCUUGUAGAGCGGGGUAGAAUUCCAGGUGUAGCGGUGAAAUGCGUAGAGAUCUGGAGGAAUACCGGUGGAGAAGGCGGCCCCCUGGACUAAGACUGACGGUGAGGUGAGAAAGCGUGGGGAGCAAACAGGAUUAGAUCCCCUGGUAGUCCACGCUGUAAACGAUGUCGACUGGGAGCUUGUUCCCAUGAGGAGUGGCUUCCGGAGCUAACGCGUUAAGCCCACCCGCCUUCGGA